GCAGUCGAGCGCACUCUUCGGAGUGAGCGGCGGACGGGUUAGUAACGCGUGGGAACAUACCCUUCACUAUGGAAUAGCCUCGGGAAACUGAGAGUAAUACCAUAUACGCCCUUCGGGGGAAAGAUUUAUCGGUGAUGGAUUGGCCCGCGUUAGAUUAGAUAGUUGGUGGGGUAAUGGCCUACCAAGUCUACGAUCUAUAGCUGGUUUGAGAGGAUGAUCAGCAACACUGGGACUGAGACACGGCCCAGACUCCUACGGGAGGCAGCAGUGGGGAAUCUUAGACAAUGGGCGAAAGCCUGAUCUAGCCAUGCCGCGUGAGUGACGAAGGCCUUAGGGUCGUAAAGCUCUUUCGCCAGGGAUGAUAAUGACAGUACCUGGUAAAGAAACCCCGGCUAACUCCGUGCCAGCAGCCGCGGUAAUACGGAGGGGGUUAGCGUUGUUCGGAAUUACUGGGCGUAAAGCGUACGUAGGCGGAUUGGAAAGUAUGGGGUGAAAUCCCAGGGCUCAACCCUGGAACUGCCCUGUAAACUAUCAGUCUAGAGUUCGAGAGAGGUGAGUGGAAUUCCAAGUGUAGAGGUGAAAUUCGUAGAUAUUUGGAGGAACACCAGUGGCGAAGGCGGCUCACUGGCUCGAUACUGACGCUGAGGUACGAAAGUGUGGGGAGCAAACAGGAUUAGAUACCCUGGUAGUCCACACCGUAAACGAUGAAUGCCAGACGUCAGGGGGCUUGCCCUUUGGUGUCACACCUAACGGAUUAAGCAUUCCGCCUGGGGAGUACGGUCGCAAGAUUAAAACUCAAAGGAAUUGACGGGGGGCCCGCACAAGCGG
rnacentral:rRNA from 1 species